UGGGGAAUAUUGGACAAUGGGGGAAACCCUGAUCCAGCAAUGCCGCGUGAGUGAAGAAGGCCUUAGGGUUGUAAAGCUCUUUCGCCCGCGAAGAUAAUGACGGUAGCGGGAGAAGAAGCCCCGGCUAACCCCGUGCCAGCAGCCGCGGUAAUACGGAGGGGGCUAGCGUUGUUCGGAAUUACUGGGCGUAAAGCGUACGUAGGCGGAUGCGCAGGUUGGGGGUGAAAUCCCGGGGCUUAACCUCGGAAUUGCCCUCAAAACUGCACGUCUUGAGACCGAGAGAGGUAAGGGGAAUUCCUAGUUUAGAGGUGAAAUUCGUAGAUAUUAGGAAGAACACCAGUGGCGAAGGCGCCUUACUGGCUCGGUACUGACGCUGAGGUACGAAAGCGUGGGG
rnacentral:rRNA from 1 species